AGAUACAUGCAAAUAGUUAAACAGAUUAGAAAAAAAGAAUCAGAUAGUUAACUCAAGGAUUCAAUAAAACAUCAAACUUGAGUAAUUUGACUAAAAAUCAAACGAAACUACAGUAGAAAAGGGGGAAAAUUGAUGAACCAGAUUGAAAUAUAAGGCCCAAAAUUAAAAUCAAACAAAGAAAAAACUUCAGAUUUUAACAAAUUAACAAGUCCUUUAAUAUAUUAAAUUGAAACUAAAACCUAAACUACAAUUUUGUUAUUCAAAAGAGAUAUAAUAACAUACCAAAUAUUGAAUAUAUCCUUCGUUGGCUUCUAAAACUUAAUCCCGCCGCGUCAUAUAUUAUUAACGACGAUUUUGUUUUUUUUUUUUUUUUAUUUCUAGAUUAUUAACGACAGAAAUUUAACAUUAUUUUAUCAUUGUGUAGACAAUAGUCCAGAACUCACGAGAAACAUUUUUAGUCCUCGUUAUAAGUAUGCUUUUAACAAUGAAUUUUUGAUAUGGUCGUUAUUGAGUCGUUGUUAAUUACUUAAAUUUUAGUAGUGAAAUAUGAUUAGGAGAUAUAUUAGGAUUAGGAUUCUCAAUAUUCGUUCUAUCUGAUAUGAUUAUUAAUUUCCUAUCUUAUCUUUGUACGAUUUUUCACCCUAUAAAUAUAGGUACAUAUCAAUAAUAGUUAAUGAAUAAUGACGAGAGAUUCACUAGUAGAAAAAAGUAAGUGGGAAGCUCCAAAUGGAAAACGGUUGUUAAAAUUCGCUUCCAAAAUUCCACAAAAACCCACCCAAAAAAAAAAAAAAACAAAACUGAAACAUACAAAUGAGGAGCGGUUUUGGGUUAAACCGCUCCCAAAUAUUGUAAUUGAAAGCGGGUUGAUGUUUAAACCACUCCCCAUUCCUAAAAAAUAAUACGGGCCUUUCUCUCUCCUCCUCUUCACUCACACGUUCUCAUCUCUCUCCUCUCAUCUCCUUCUCACGCAUCUCUCCUUUCUCUCUCCUCCUCUCCAUUCUCAUCUCCUUCUCACGCAUCUCUCCAUUAUUCUCAUCUCCUUCUCACCGAGCAACAACACCGACAGCAAACCCACCGAGCAGCCCCCACCACAGCAAACCAUCGAGCAUCACCGACUCACCGAGCAAGCACCACCGAGCAACAACGCAGCACCAACAACAACACCGACGAGGCGAUACCCACCGAGAACCACCGGCGUUUUUCAGGUCUAAUUUUAAUUUAGUGGCGGUGGCUAGAAAUGCAGUGCUGUGGUGGCUUCAGUAGUUUUAAUUUAUUUAUUUUUUUUAAUUAAAAUGUAAUAUUACAACUAAUUAUUAAUGGAAAUAUACAUUUUUAUACAUAUGUUU